rnacentral:rRNA from 1 species
GUUCGGAUUCAUUGGGCGUAAAGGGUGCGUAGGCGGCGCGGUAAGUCGGGUGUGAAAUCUCGGGGCUUAACUCCGAAACUGCAUUCGAUACUGCCGUGCUUGAGGACUGGAGAGGAGACUGGAAUUUACGGUGUAGCGGUGAAAUGCGUAGAUAUCGUAGGGAAGACCAGUGGCGAAGGCGGGUCUCUGGACAGUUCCUGACGCUGAGGCACGAAGGUCAGGGGAGCAAACGGG